GAAAUGCGAUAAGUAAUGUGAAUUGCAGAAUUCCGUGAAUCAUCGAAUCUUUGAACGCACAUUGCGCCCUCUGGUAUUCCGGGGGGCAUGCCUGUCCGAGCGUCAUUGCGAACCCCUCAAGCACGGCUGGGGUGAUGGGCCCUCCCGCGUCUUGGUCGUCAAGACGGGCCCGAAAAGCAGUGGCGGCUUCGCGGUUAUCCGAUCAGCCAGAGCGUAUGGGGACUUUCUCUCUGUCACACGCCCGCGGCGCGGACCGACGCCUGUCGACCUUUAUUCAUCUUUUUCUCGGUUGACCUCGGAUCAGGUAGGGAUACCCGCUGAACUUAAGC
rnacentral:misc_RNA from 1 species